UGGGGAAUCUUGCGCAAUGGGCGAAAGCCUGACGCAGCGACGCCGCGUGGAGGAUGAAGGUCUCCGGAUUGUAAACUUCUGUUAAGUGGGAAGAAAUGUUCGUCUCUAAUACAGACGGAAGAUGACGGUACCAUUAAAGAAAGCACCGGCUAAUCUCGUGCCAGCAGCCGCGGUAAUACGAGAGGUGCAAGCGUUAUUCGGAAUUAUUGGGCGUAAAGAGUGCGUAGACGGUACGUUAAGUCAAUUGUUAAAUUCCUCGGCCUAACCGAGGGUCAGCGGUCGAUACUGGCGUACUAGAGGGUGGAAGAGAGAAGUGGAAUUCUCGGAGUAGCGGUAAAAUGCGUAGAUCUCGAGAGGAACACCGAUGGCGAAGGCAGCUUCUUGGUCCAUUUCUGACGUUGAGGCACGAAAGCGUGGGGAGCAAACAGG
rnacentral:rRNA from 1 species